GGAAUCUUCUUUGAGUAUUGGUAUUUGUCAUAAAGUUCCUUCACUAAAUUCAUUGAGAGAUAAUGCACUCACACACAACCCUGCCAUGUGCUGGCAUGGAUGGCCUGACUGGUUAAGGCCAGUUAAAGAUUCCAUGAUGACAUUAACUUGAUCAAUCAGUUAUAUUUUGUGAAGUAUAUUGAUCAUGGCCACGGGGGUUUUUCUUUUCUUUUCUUUUUGAUUUUUGUCCGAUGGGCCUAUGCCAUAGGGGAAGCCUAUCCAAAUUUCUGAAUCUGUUUCCAAUAUCUUUGAGGACUCAAACUUGAGACCUGGUAGUGGAAAUCCUAAGUUUUAACUACAGGGGAUCCUUUAAGUUGUGUUUGGUUAGUUUCACACAACAAAAAGAACAAAUACGAAAGGGAUAAAAAUGUUGGUUUGGAGGCACGGAGAUAGUCAAAUAAAUUUGUUGUUGUGAUAGUCAAAUAAUUGAAGAAAUAAUCAAACACGAAUUACAUGAGACCUUUUCAUUCUACCCCAUACGACAAUAAUUGAAGACCAUUGCUUAUGAAAUGGCGGGGGGUUUUUCUUUUCUUUUCUUUUUGAUUUUUGUCCGAUGGGCCUAUGCCAUUGGGGAAGCCUAUCCAAAUUUCUGAAUCCGUUUCCAAUAUCUUUGAGGACUCAAACUCGAGACCUGGUAGUGGAAAUCCUAAGUUUUAACUACAGGGGAUCCUUUAAGUUGUGUUUGGUUAGUUUCACACAACAAAAAGAAUAAAUACGAAAGGGAUAAAUAUGUUGGUUUGGAGGCAUGGAGAUAGUCAAAUAAAUUUGUUGUUGUGAUAGUCAAAUAAUUGAAGAAAUAAUCAAACACCAAUUACAUGAUACCUUUUCAACUCACACAAAAGAAGAAAAAAACUUGCAAAACAUUUUCCAGGAUUCCAAAUACAGUAAAUUAUGAAGAAUGUGUUGUAUGCUGAUUUUCUCAACAACUUGCAGC
rnacentral:lncRNA from 1 species